GUGGGGAAUAUUGGACAAUGGGCGAAAGCCUGAUCCAGCCAUGCCGCGUGUGUGAAGAAGGUCUUCGGAUUGUAAAGCACUUUAAGUUGGGAGGAAGGGUAGUAACCUAAUACGUUGCUACUUUGACGUUACCGACAGAAUAAGCACCGGCUAACUUCGUGCCAGCAGCCGCGGUAAUACGAAGGGUGCAAGCGUUAAUCGGAAUUACUGGGCGUAAAGCGCGCGUAGGUGGUUCAGUAAGUUGGAAGUGAAAUCCCCGGGCUCAACCUGGGAACUGCUUUCAAAACUGCUGAGCUAGAGUACGGUAGAGGGUGGUGGAAUUUCCUGUGUAGCGGUGAAAUGCGUAGAUAUAGGAAGGAACACCAGUGGCGAAGGCGACCACCUGGACUGAUACUGACACUGAGGUGCGAAAGCGUGGGGAGCAAACAGGAUUAGAAACCCCAGUAGUCC
rnacentral:rRNA from 1 species